CAAUAAGCGGAGGAAAAGAAACUAACAAGGAUUCCCCUAGUAACGGCGAGUGAAGAGGGAAGAGCCCAAGAUUGGAAGCUGGCGUCUUCGGUGUCCGCAUUGUAAUCUCAAGAAGUGUUUUCCGCUUCGGACCAUGCCCAAGUCCUUUGGAAAACGGCAUCAUAGAGGGUGAUAGUCCCGUACAUGGCAUGGAGCGCCCGGAGCUUUGUGAUACGCUUUCUAAGAGUCGAGUUGUUUGGGAAUGCAGCUCAAAAUGGGUGGUAAAUGCCAUCUAAGGCUAAAUAUUGGGGAGAGACCGAUAGCGAACAAGUACAGUGAUGGAAAGAUGAAAAGCACUUUGAAAAGAGAGUUAAACAGUACGUGAAAUUGCCAAAAGGGAAGGGUAGGAGGUCAGAGAUGCGACUUGGGAUUCAGCCUUGCUUUUUGCUUGGUGUUUUUCCCAAGCUGCAGGCCAACGUCGGUUUUGGGCACUGGAGAAGGGUGGAAGGAACGUGGCACCCUUCGGGGUGUGUUAUAGCCUUCCACUGGAUACAGCGACCGAGACCGAGGACAGCAGCGUACUCGCAAGAGCGGGCCUUCGGGCACCUUUACGCUUAGGGCG
rnacentral:rRNA from 1 species